AUAUGACACUCCUUGGUUAAGUAUCUGGGAUUCCCCUGCUUCUGGACAAAAAAUGGCCGAAACAUUAAUGCCAACUAAAAUAGAACCUACGCCAUUCUAUUCCGAAUUCAACAUAAUCGACAAUACUAUUCCCAUAAGCCCUCC